rnacentral:rRNA from 1 species
AUGGAUUGGGUUUUGUCCUUGCAUGAGAUAAUGCAUCAUACUUAUGUUAAGAAAAGGGUAGGCAUUGUUAUAAAGGUUGAUUUUGAGAAAGCUUAUGACAAGGUAAAUUGGGAUUUCCUGUUGGAAUGCCUUGAGAUGAGAGGGUUUGGUAUUACUUGGUCUAAGUGGAUAAAAGGUGUCCUGGUUGAUGGUACAAUUAGUGUUAAGUUGAACAACACUAUGGUACUUUACUUCAAAAGUUUUAAAGGGGUUAGGCAGGGAGACCUCGUGUCACCAUUUCUGUUUAACAUAGCUGCCGAAUGCUUAUGUAAAAUGGUUCCACAAGCACACAAAAAUAACUUGAUUGUGGGGCUUGCACCGGAUCUAAUUGAAUAUGGGGUGGCUAUUCUGCAGUAUGCAGAUGACACUGUUCUAUGUAUAGAACAUGAUCCGGAUAAAGCUGUGAAUUUGAAACUGCUGCUCUAUAUCUUUGAGCUCAUGUGUGGACUCAAGAUUAACUUUCAGAAAAGUGAAAUCCUCUGUGUAGGGGGUGAUGAUGACAUUCUUAGAACAUAUGUUGAUAUUUUUUAUUGUUAA